AUUGAACGCUGGCGGCAGGCCUAACACAUGCAAGUCGAACGAGUGGCGGACGGGAGAGUAAUGUGUGGGAAACUGCCUGCUGGCGGGGGAUAACUACUGGAAACGGUAGCUAAUACCGUAUACCAACAUAUGUGCAACGAUGGGCUUAGCUUGUUGGUGGGGUAACUGCUCACCAAGGCGAUGAUCCCUAGCUGGUCUGAGAGGAUGACCAGCCAAACUGGAACGGAGACACGGUCCAGACUCCUACGGGAGGCAGCAGUGGGGAAUAUUGCACAAUGGGCGCAAGCCUGAUGCAGCCAUGCCGCGUGUGUGAAGAAGGCCUUCGGGUUGUAAAGUACUUUCAGCGGGGAGGCGUUACCCGCAGAAGAAGCACCGGCUAACUCCGUGCCAGUAGCCGCGGUAAUUC
rnacentral:rRNA from 1 species